rnacentral:rRNA from 1 species
UACGUAGGGUGCGAGCGUUAAUCGGAAUUACUGGGCGUAAAGCGUGCGCAGGCGGUUUUGUAAGCCAGAUGUGAAAGCCCCGGGCUCAACCUGGGAAUGGCAUUUGGGACUGCAAGGCUUGAGUGCGGCAGAGGAGACUGGAAUUCCUGGUGUAGCAGUGAAAUGCGUAGAUAUCAGGAGGAAUACCGAUGGCGAAGGCAGGUCUCUGGCUGGACACUGACGCUCAUGCACGAAAGCGUGGGGAGC